UUUUAAAAUUGUACUCAAAAAUAUUUUUUGCUUUUAAUAUGGACCAAACCAAUUGGCUGCCAAUGAGAGUAAUACUCUUCGAGAUUCAAAGCAAGAUUUUAUAAAUAGAAGCCCUACCAGUAUAGGGAUUUUAGAUAUCGAAGUUAGAUAUUCUAAGGAAAUAAAAGAGAAAAAUUCAGAAUAAUGGAGAGGGAAACACUCCUUGGACUGAGCUUCUUCCUCUUUGUUCUCUUAGCUACUCAAGAAGCUGUGGUGCAAAUUGAAGGUUGUGAGAAAAAGAGUCCUGACUUCGUUGGUCCAUGCGUUGGCCCAAUUCUAAGCCAAAAUUGUGACUUUAUUUGCAAGCAUGGGCAGGUCGCUUUACCAGGUGGUUCCUGCAAAAAUGGGGAGUGCAUGUGUGUCUGUUGAAUUUGCAACUAUAUAUAGAAAACAUACAUAAAUAAUUAAAUAAGCAAAGCUAGCUGUUUCGUUUUUUAUAGCUAGUUCAUAAAAUAAAUCAGAAAUCAAUGCUGUUUCCUUUUCCUUUGUUGAGAAUUUUCCUAAAAUUAAUUGGUAUCUAUUAUAUAUCUCA